UACGUAGGGGGCAAGCGUUGUCCGGAUUCAUUGGGCGUAAAGAGCUCGUAGGCGGCUUGGCAAGUCGGGUGUGAAAACUCCAGGCUCAACCUGGAGACGCCACCCGAUACUGCCAUGGCUUGAGUCCGGUAGGGGACCACGGAAUUCCUGGUGUAGCGGUGAAAGUGACGCAGAUAUCAGGAGGAACACCGAUGGCGAAGGCAGGUCUCUGGGCCACUACUGACGCUGAGAAGCGAAAGCAUGGGGAGCGAACAGG
rnacentral:rRNA from 1 species